rnacentral:misc_RNA from 1 species
AAGAGCUGCAUCGGUGCACCCCAUUGAGUCUACUCUUUGCGUUGUGACAGUCUGCGCGACCUUCUCACUAUGAUCGCUCGUAGCAUCACUCUGGCCCUGAUGGUGGUCGUGGCCCUGUCUGCCUUGGCACUGGCCAUUCCCGCACCCGAGGCCGAGGCCGACGCCAAGGCCAACAGGAGAUUCUUCUUCGGACAUGGAUUGGGUGGAUUCGGCGGCGGCUUCGGUGGAUUUGGUGGAUAUGGAGGAUAUGGAGGAUACGGACAUGGAUACGGCUUUGGAUACAGGCCCUAUGGAUUUGGACACUUUGGCUAAGGACAGAAGCUGAGGAUUCGGACGAUCCUUCUCAACUCCUUCCCCGGAUGCUGACCGCUGGCAGGGCUGCGCAGAUCGUCACCAAACCUCUGCUUCUGCCUUGACAACCUGCCAACCUGGGAAGGGAAUGAAACUCUGCCUUUAUUUACUAUCUUCGUUCGACUUUACCUGUUCACUAAGAAUGGUUCAAUAAAUUGGUGUUUGCCUUGAA